CCUAUAUAUUCCCAAAUAUUCCGCAAAUAAUCAGUGGAGCCUCGAAAAUACUUUUCCGCUGCCGCAAGCUUCCGUUUCCGCGAGAUCUCAUCUGGAGACCCUUCCCAGCACCCUGCCGGAGGGGACUUUGGAGUUGGAGGGCUUCUUCAUCAUCAUCAUCGCCCCUCCAAUGACUCGUGAGUAGUUCACUUCGGACCUACGGGUCCGUAGUUAGUAGCUAGAUGGCUUCUUCUCUCUCUUGGAUCUUCAAUACAAAGUUCUCCAUGAUCUUCAUGGAGAUCUAUCCGAUGUAAUCUUCUUUGGCAGUGUGUUUGUCGAGAUCCG
rnacentral:lncRNA from 1 species